AGACGUGGUAGGCAAUUCACCUAGGAGAGCAAACUCUAAACAAACCCGGGCAGGUGGAGGUCGUUAGCCGUGGUAGGCAAUUCACCUAGGAGAGCAAACUCUAAACAAACCCGGGCAGGUGGGGCUCGUUAGCCGUGGUAGGCAAUUCACCUAGGAGAGCAAACUCCGAACAACAAACCCGGGCAGGUGGGGCUCGUUAGCCGUGGUAGGCAGUUCACCUAGGAGAGCAAACUCCGAACAACAAACCCGGGCAGGUGGAGGUCGUCAGCCGUGGUAGGCAGUUCACCUAGGAGAGCAAACUCCGAACAAUAAACCCGGCCAGGUGGAGGUCGUCAGCCGUGGUAGGCAAUCUGCCUAGGAGAGCAAACUCCGAACAAGAAACCCGGCCAGGUGGAGGUCGUCAGUCGUGGUAGGCAAUCUGCCUAGGAGAGCAAACUCCGAACAAUAAACCCGGCCAGGUGGAGGUCGUCAGCCGUGGCAGGCAAUCUGCCUAGGAGAGCAAACUCCGAACAAUAAACCCGGCCAGGUGGAGGUCGUCAGCCGUGGUAGGCAAUCUGCCUAGGAGAGCAAACUCCGAACAAUAAACCCGGCCAGGUGGAGGUCGUCAGCCGUGGUAGGCAAUCUGCCUAGGAGAGCAAACUCCGAACAAUAAACCCGGCCAGGUGGAGGUCGUCAGCCGUGGCAGGCAAUCUGCCUAGGAGAGCAAACUCUAAAUAAACCCGGGCUUGUGGUGCUCGUUAUACUGUCGUAGACAGUCCACGCGAUCUGAACACCAAAGAAAAGGAAAAUAAAAAGGAACACCAGAAAAAUGGAAAAUACAGAAACGAAACAUCAAGAAAAGAAACAAAAAGAUCAUCCACCUUUAGGCCCUAACAUCGCCAAAAUUAUGGAUGGGUCUCUUCUGGGGAGAAAGCGGCUCAUCCAGACCAAAGAACAUCAACCAAAGGAUGAUAUGAAUAAAUGAAAUAGAAAAACAUAAAGAAAAACACAAACACAUCAAGGAAAGAAAAAUAUAACAAACAUCAUCCACCUUCCGGUCCUGACUAAAAUCACCAAAAUUAUGGGUGGGUCUCUUCUGGGGAGAAAGCGGCUCACCCAGACCAAAGAACAUCAACAAGGGAUGAUAUAGAAAAGAACACCAAAAAAAAUGGAAAAAGAACAGAAAAAACAUCGAAAAAGAAAAGCAACAGAAAUAAAUCAACAACAUCAAGAAAAGAGAAAUACAAAGAAGCAUCAUCCACCUUUCGGUCCCAAACAACAUCACCAAAAUUAUGGAUGGGUCUCUUCUGGGAGGAAAGCGGCUCAUCCAGACCAAGGAACAUCAACAAAAGGAUGAUAGGAAAAAAGAACAUCAAAAAGCAUCAAUAAGAAGUAAAAGAAAAGAACAGGAAAACAUCGAAAAAGAAAACUAAAGCAAUAAAAAGAACGAAAAACACGACAUCAAGAAAAUGAAAUAAAACAAACAUCAUCCACCUUUUGGCCCUAACAACAUCUCCAAAAUUAUGGGUGGGUCUCUUCUGGGAGGAAAGCGGCUCACCCAGACCAACGAACAUCAACAAAAGGAUGAUAGGAAAAAAGAACACCAAAAAAGAACACCAAAAAAGAACAUCAAAAAAGAAAACCAACA